GACGAACCGUGCGAACGUUGUUCGGAAUCACUGGGCUUAAAGGGCGCGUAGGUGGUUUGCCAAGUCGGGGUUGAAAUCUUUCGGCUUAACCGGAAAAGUGGCUUCGAUACUGGCAAGCUGGAGGGAGGUAGGGGCGGAUGGAACUUCCGGUGGAGCGGUGAAAUGCGUAGAUAUCAUUUGGAACGCCAAAGGCGAAAGCAGGCUGCUGGGAGUGAUCUGACACUGAGACGCGAAAGCCAGGGGAGCAAACGGG
rnacentral:rRNA from 1 species